CAGAGCCAAGGAGCCUAACAGAGUUCUGCUUCCUCCAGUGUUUCACUUCUAUCUGAUCAGAAUUGUAGAACAUGAUCCCCUGCACAAGAAAACAGCCUAUUUCUAAAGGCUUUUCUGAGAACCUCUUACAUGUAAGAUCCUGCUCAGCAUGAAAACAGGGCAUCAUUAUCUAUCAGGGAAGAAUGCCACAGACCUGCAGGCUGAGAAACGAAUGCAGAAGGGUUAUACCAGGAUGCUUUUACAUUUUGGAUGGCUGUACAGGAGUGCCUCUUGAGCUGCCUGAGGGACUGCUGGAUCAUCUUCUUUCAGGCCAGAAUGAGCACAAGGUUGGAGUCGAUGGGGAGGACUGAAGACAACUGCUGGGGUCAAGCUCUUGUAUUCUAGAGGCAUCUGAGAUGGACAAGAGGAAAGGAAGAAACUAAAAUGGAGAACAUUGCAGAUGAG